UCCAGACUCCUACGGGAGGCAGCAGUGGGGGAUAUUGCACAAUGGGGGAAACCCUGAUGCAGCGACGCCGCGUGAGUGAAGAAGUAUUUCGGUAUGUAAAGCUCUAUCAGCAGGGAAGAAAAAAGACGGUACCUGACUAAGAAGCCCCGGCUAACUACGUGCCAGCAGCCGCGGUAAUACGUAGGGGGCAAGCGUUAUCCGGAUUUACUGGGUGUAAAGGGAGCGUAGACGGCAAUACAAGUCGGAAGUGAAAUACCCGGGCUCAACCUGGGAACUGCUUUGGAAACUGUAUGGCUGGAGUGCUGGAGAGGUAAGCGGAAUUCCUAGUGUAGCGGUGAAAUGCGUAGAUAUUAGGAGGAACACCAGUGGCGAAGGCGGCUUACUGGACUGUAACUGACGUUGAGGCUCGAAAGCGUGGGGAGCAAACAGGAUUAGAUACCCGAGUAU
rnacentral:rRNA from 1 species